rnacentral:sRNA from 1 species
CCCAGGGCUAACGCCCUGGGCUGUAGGAUUUCGCCCCCUUGGGGCU